AACGAGACCUUCGGGUCUAGUGGCGCACGGGUGCGUGACGCGUGGGAAUCUGCCCCUUGGUUCGGAAUAACAGUUAGAAAUGACUGCUAAUACCGGAUAACGACGUAAGUCCAAAGAUUUAUCGCCGAGGGAUGAGCCCGCGUAGGAUUAGCUAGUUGGUGUGGUAAAGGCGCACCAAGGCGACGAUCCUUAGCUGGUCUGAGAGGAUGAUCAGCCACACUGGGACUGAGACACGGCCCAGACUCCUACGGGAGGCAGCAGUGGGGAAUAUUGGACAAUGGGCGAAAGCCUGAUCCAGCAAUGCCGCGUGAGUGAUGAAGGCCUUAGGGUUGUAAAGCUCUUUUACCCGGGAUGAUAAUGACAGUACCGGGAGAAUAAGCUCCGGCUAACUCCGUGCCAGCAGCCGCGGUAAUACGGAGGGAGCUAGCGUUGUUCGGAAGUACUGGGCGUAAAGCGCACGUAGGCGGUUUUGUAAGUUAGAGGUGAAAGCCUGGAGCUCAACUCCCGAAUUGCCUUUACGACUGCCUCGCUUG
rnacentral:rRNA from 1 species